UUUAAAUGUAAAAUAUAUUACUAAAGUAGUAUUAGUUAUGAUCUUGAAAUUUAAAGAUUUUGGCGGUAUUUUAGUCUAUUUAGAGGAACCUGUUCUGUAAUUGAUAAUCCACGAUUAAUUAUACUUGAUUUAUAAAUUUGUAUACCGUCGUUAUAAGAAAAUUUUAAUAGAAUAUAAAUUUUUAGUAUUUUUAAUUAAAAAAUAUAUCAGAUCAAGGUGCAGUAUAUAAUUAAGUAGAAAUGGGUUACAAUAAAUAUAUUUAUAUGGAUUAAGGUAGGAAAUAAGCUUUAUGAAGGUGGAUUUAAUAGUAAUAAGAUUUAAUUAAAUUUUAUGAUUUUAGCUCUAAAAUAUGU
rnacentral:rRNA from 1 species